AUGGACCAAGGCUUGUUCCAGCGCCUGCGUCCCACUGCUGUCGCCACAAUACCCAAGAGAAAGGCUGAAGGGGAUGCUAAGGGAGCUAAAGCCAAGGUGAAGGACAAACCACAGAGGAGAUCUGCAAGGUUAUCUGCUAAACCUGCUCCUCCAAAGCCAGAGCCUAAGCCUAAAACGGCCCCUGCAAAGAAGGGAGAGAAGGUACCCAAAGGGAAAAAGGGGAAAGCUGAUGCUGGCAAGGAUGGGAAUAACCCUGCAGAAAAUGGAGAUGCCAAAACAGACCAGGCACAGAAAGCUGAAGGUGCUGGAGAUACCAAGGGAAGUGUGUGCAUUUUUGAUAACUGCGUACUUCUGGUGACUGUACAGUUUGAGAUACUAUUUUUUAUCAAGUUUUAUAAAAAUGCAGAAUUUUGUUUUACUUUUUUUUUUUUUUUUUUUUUAGAUUUGUUUAUUUUUAAAAUGCUGACCUGA